GGUCAUCGUAACGCCUGGGCCCACUGAUGUAGGGAGAGGUGAGCUGACAGCGGUAGAGCAGCCACAAGCACCUGUUGCUGAGGAACAAGUUAUCCGUGUUGAGGGCACGGGGUUGCAACUUGUAUUAGAAGGAAAUGUUAUGCUACAGAAAAGUAUUGUUGUAGAAGGUAAGGAUGUAUCUGAAGAGCCAGUUCCUCAGACUGGUGAGCAGGUGCCCAGUAUGAGUGCUGGGGUAAAGGAGGGGGUUCAUGUGGAGCUAGGCUCCCAGGGAGUGGAGGAGAUGCCCACUACGAGUGCUGGGGUUCAUGUAGAGCUAGGCUCCCAGGUAGUGGAGGAGAUGCCCACUACGAGUAAUGAAGUACAGGAGGGUUUGCAUGUGGAGCUAAGCUCCCAGGUAGUGGAGGAGAUGCCCACUACGAGUGCUGGGGUUCAUGUGGAGCUAGGUUCUCAGUUAGUGGAGAAGAUGCCCACUAUGAGUAGUGAUGUUCAGGUGGGGCUAGUCUCCCAGAUAGUGGAGGAGAUGCCUGGUACGAG
ensembl:lncRNA